rnacentral:rRNA from 1 species
GACGAACGCUGGCGGCGUGCUUAACACAUGCCAGUCGAACGAUGAACCCGGAGCUUGCUCUGGGGGAUUAGUGGCGAACGGGUGAGUAACACGUGAGUAACCUGCCCUGGACUCUGGGAUAAGCGUUGGAAACGACGUCUAAUACCGGAUAGGACCUUGGAUCGCAUGAUCUGGGGUGGAAAGUUUUUUCGGUCUGGGAUGGACUCGCGGCCUAUCAGCUUGUUGGUGAGGUAAUGGCUCACCAAGGCGUCGACGGGUCGCCGGCCUGAGAGGGUGACCGGACACGGUGCGAACGAGACACGGAGGAGACAGUUACGGAAGGUAGCAGAGGGGAAUAUGGCAGAAUGGGCGAAAGCCUGAGGCAGAAACACGGCGUGCGGGAGGAAGGCCCUCGGGUUGUAAACCGAAUUCAGUAGGGAAGAAGGGCUUCGGCUUGACGGUACCUAAAGAAAAAGGACCGGCUAACUACGUG